GACGAACGCUGGCGGCGUGCUUAACACAUGCAAGUCGAACGAUGAAGCCGGAGCUUGCUCUGGUGAAUUAGUGGCGAACGGGUGAGUAACACGUGAGUAACCUGCCCUUGACUCUGGGAUAACUGCGGGAAACUGUAGCUAAUACCGGAUACGACCCUCGGAGGCAUCUCCUGGGGGUGGAAAGAAUUUCGGUCAAGGAUGAACUCGCGGCCUAUCAGCUAGUUGGUGAGGUAAAGGCCCACCAAGGCGGCGACGGGCAGCCGGCCUGAGAGGGUGACCGGCCACACUGGGACUGAGACACGGCCCAGACUCCUACGGGAGGCAGCAGUGGGGAAUAUUGCACAAUGGGCGCAAGCCUGAUGCAGCAACGCCGCGUGAGGGAUGACGGCCUUCGGGUUGUAAACCUCUUUUAGCAGGGAAGAAGCGAAAGUGACGGUACCUGCAGAAAAAGCACCGGCUAACUACGUGCCAGCCGCCGCCGUAA
rnacentral:rRNA from 1 species